UGGGGAAUAUUGCACAAUGGGCGGAAGCCUGAUGCAGCGACGCCGCGUGAGGGAUGACGGCCUUCGGGUUGUAAACCUCUUUCGGUAGGGACGAAGCGUUUUGUGACGGUACCUACAGAAGAAGCGCCGGCCAACUACGUGCCAGCAGCCGCGGUAAGACGUAGGGCGCGAGCGUUGUCCGGAUUUAUUGGGCGUAAAGAGCUCGUAGGCGGCUUGUUGCGUCAGCUGUGAAAGCCCAUGGCUUAACUGUGGGUUGGCAGCUGAUACGGGCAGGCUAGAGUUCGGUAGGGGAGACUGGAAUUCCUGGUGUAGCGGUGAAAUGCGCAGAUAUCAGGAGGAACACCGGUGGCGAAGGCGGGUCUCUGGGCCGAUACUGACGCUGAGGAGCGAAAGCGUGGGGAGCAAA
rnacentral:rRNA from 1 species